UACGAAGGGGGCGAGCGUUAUUCGGAAUCACUGGGCGUAAAGCGUGCGUAGGCUGUCUAGCAAGUUGGGAGUGAAAGCCCAGGGCUCAACCCUGGAAUUGCUCUCAAAACUGCAAGACUCGAAUUCGGGAGAGGAUAGCGGAAUUUCCAGUGUAGUAGUGAAAUACGUAGAUAUUGGAAGGAACACCAGUGGCGCAAGCGGCUAUCUGGACCGACAUUGACGCUGAGGCACGAAAGCGUGGGGAUCAAACAGG
rnacentral:rRNA from 1 species